UACGUAGGCAGCGAGCGUUGUUCGGAAUUACUGGGCGUAAAGCGUGCGCAGGCGGUCCGUUAAGACAGAUGUGAAAUCCCCGGGCUUAACCUGGGAACUGCAUUUGUGACUGGCGGACUCGAGUAUGGCAGAGGGGGGUAGAAUUCCACGUGUAGCAGUGAAAUGCGUAGAGAUGUGGAGGAAUACCGAUGGCGAAGGCAGCCCUCUGGGCCAAUACUGACGCUCAUGCACGAAAGCGUGGGGAGCAAACAGG
rnacentral:rRNA from 1 species